rnacentral:rRNA from 1 species
UCGGAUUAAUGCUCCAUGGUUUAUCGAUAUGGCAUCGUAUUGAUAAUAAAGAUUUAUCGGUAUAAGAUGGGCAUGCGUAUCAUUAGCUAGUUGGUGUGGUAACGGCAUACCAAGGCGACGAUGAUUAGGGGUCCUGAGAGGGAGAUCCCCCACACUGGUACUGAGACACGGACCAGACUCCUACGGGAGGCAGCAGUGAGGAAUAUUGGUCAAUGGAGGCAACUCUGAACCAGCCAUGCCGCGUGCAGGAUGACGGUCCUAUGGAUUGUAAACUGCUUUUGUACAGGAAGAAACCUCUCUACGUGUAGGGACUUGACGGUACUGUAAGAAUAAGGAUCGGCUAACUCCGUGCCAGCAGCCGCGGUAAUACGGAGGAUCCGAGCGUUAUCCGGAAUUAUUGGGUUUAAAGGGUUCGUAGGCGGCUUUGUAAGUCAGUGGUGAAAUUUCCUAGCUUAACUAGGACACGGCCAUUGAUACUGCAGAGCUUGAAUAAUAUGGAAGUAACUAGAAUAUGUAGUGUAGCGGUGAAAUGCUUAGAUAUUACAUGGAAUACCAAUUGCGAAGGCAGGUUACUACGUAUUUAUUGACGCUGAUGAACGAAAGCGUGGGGAGCGAACAGGAUUAGAUACCCUGGUAGUCCACGCCGUAAACGAUGGAUACUAGCUGUUCGGACUUC